rnacentral:snRNA from 1 species
GUGCUCGCUUCGGCAGCACAGAUACUAAAACUGGAACGAUACAGAGAAGAUUAGCACAGCCCCUGCGCAAGGAUGACAUGCAAAUUCGUGAAGCGUUCCACAUUUUU